CAUCUGGUGUUGACAGAAACUGCUUUAGUACCUCAUCUACAUUUUUAUUUCUGUGCACAUCAGCUUGAGCUCCAUUUUCAUCAAGUGUUUCAGUUCAGGUUAAAGAAAAAUUAAAUCUGUAGUGACGUCUAAUCAAAUCAUCCUUUUGUCCAAAGAUGAAUUUUAUUGGUUAAAAAAAAAAAAAAAACAACCUGUUCCCUUUAUCUGCUGCAAAACCAAGUAUCUGUUCCAAUCUUUUUUUCUUUAAUGAAAAUCACAUGUAAAAUCUACCAUCUUGCAUUGUUACAUUAAAUGGCUCUUUUUAUAAAUAUAAUUAUCCUUGCACCAGUUAUCUUUUUCUGCAAGUUUCAUGAAAAUGGUUCAACAGCUUUUGAGAUUGAAGAAACCAGCAAAAUCUAUACUGACAAAAACAUUGUGUUCAGCGUUCUACAAUUAUUUGUGUAGCGUUGAACAACUAAUCAGCACAACCAUAAGGAGGGUCAAAUCGAACUCAGCAGAAACACUGUCACGUUACAACUUAUGCUGCGUUCACGACAACUGCCAAAGUACCAGCUCCAACUCAGACAAAAUGGUCCGAGUGUGUGGUCAGGGUGGAUUUUUAUGUUCGGGAACCCACAUACAAAUUCAGUGCUCCAAAUCGUCAGACAUGCAGACAUCCAAUCAAUCGCAUCCUGUGUCAUGACUGAAGACGGCUGCUUUGAAGAAACCUUUUACUUUUGCAUGGGAUGUUUUCAUUCUUUACAUAUUAGCGAAGUUGCCAGUGUUGCAAGUUUUUCAAAGAUGUGGAAGAACUGAUAUCAUCACUGCGACGAGACAAAUCGAAAGGGAUCCAUCAGACAUUUCCCGUGGUGAUCAGUCGCAGCAAGCAGCUCAAUAUCGUUUCCCCAAGUUCUUCGAGUCAAUGCACAUUUUCAGAUCUCAAGUUCCCAACUUGGGGUUUUCCUUGUUUACCGUUAUCUUGAAUGCAGCAUUAUUCCAGUCAUUUUUUCUCCUCACAGUCAGGUCCAUAACCAUUUGGACAGUGAUUUUUUUUUUUUGGGAGCUGUCCCCUCUGUGAUGCACAACAGAUGUGAAAUUAAACAAUGUGCUUGUGUGUAUUUAGAUUUAAUGCAAGGUGCAAUUUUUAGACAGUCCCUCCAUUUUUAGAGAGAAAAAAAACUACACAACUACUUGAGAUUAAACAACGUAUAUACAUAUAAAGAUCAUUGUUAAUACAAAUCAUCACUUAUACAGCCAGUUUUCUUUCAGCACAUCAGAGGAUGGAUACAUGAACAUUUUGAAGGCACUGAAAGUCGGACUUCAUGCAUGUUUAUUAUGCCACUAGUGUGCAGUACACCGACUGUAUUCAACUUGGAAACAGGAUUUAUUGUAAUAGCUGAUAUUUUCAGUUCCUCACAUGGUAUGCAGGUGCUGUAGGUGUCGUUUUUCAGGUUUGAAAUUACAUAUGUACCCAUUUCUAAGAAAAAAUAAUAUCUGCCCGCCCUCACCGUUUUUUCCCUGAUGUCAAGGAGAUUUUAUAUAUUUAUUUUAAUGGGGGGCUAAAUCUACCUGUGGCAGGCAGGUCUCCAAAACGGAGUGACUGUACAAGAGUGAGGGAAGCCACCAAGACAGCUCUGAUAGAUAUAAUCCAUCUGUGGUUGACUGGAGAAUAUGUGCCCAGUGAAACCUUUAAAGCUUUGUGGUGGCGUGGUAGAGGAUUUUCUUAAAAGGUGAAUAUUCAGCUGGUUUGUCACAAGGUGUAUGGGAGACUCACGACUAGAUCUUCUGUGUCCUUGUACUAAAAUUCUUCUCUGUUCCACUCCUCCAAGAAGCUGACUGGCGGUGUAACAAAGGCUGCACCAUUUACAGUUUAAUAGUCAUUCAGUUUUUAAGAACUGCCUACUCCAGACAGAUUUACCACUACGCACCAUGCCGUUUGUAUUUCUGAGUGAUUGACAGAAAUAAAGUCAGACAUAUUUGAUGUCUUGGAAAUGUUCAUGUGUACGUCCUCUGACUUUUCAAAAGAAAUCCAUCUGUAAAAGUUUUGAUUUGUAUUAAAAAUAAUCAUUUAAUGCAGCUGAUUCUUUAUGGGCUCUGAAAAUGGAAGGACAGAGAAUAAAAAUGGUUAAAUUCAUGUUUUUGCACAAACUCCUUGAAUUACAGCUGAAAGUUGACACUACAAGGAGAUCUGACUUCAUGUGAACUUCAAUCUGGUAGUGUGAACCGGGGAUGACAA